GACAGAGGGUGCAAACGUUUGUUCGGAAUUACUGGGCGUAAAGCGAGUGUAGGCGGCUUUGCAAGUCGGGUGUGAAAGCCCUCAGCUUAACUGAGGAAGUGCGCCCGAAACUGCAGAGCUUGAAUACCGGAGAGGAUGGCGGAAUUCCCCAAGUAGAGGUGAAAUUCGUAGAUAUGGGGGAGGAACACCGGUGGCGAAGGCGGCCAUCUGGACGGCUAUUGACGCUGAGACGCGAAAGCGUGGGGAGCAAACAGG
rnacentral:rRNA from 1 species